UGCCUCCGUGAACAUGGCUGGCUGCGGGGCUGCAGUACUGUGAUUGGGCCCUUUCCUUUUUAGGCUACUAUUGUUUUUCCCAUUUCUCUUGUCCCAAACUUUCUAAGUAAGAUAUGUGAAUACCUCAAGCACGUAGAGUUUGGAAAUCCCCUAACCCUUCUGGAGAUGCAUUCAAGGCAGAUAAGCCAAAGGACAACAUGGUUGGAGGCAAAUCAGGAAAUCUAGAGUUGGUUCAGAUGCUUUAACAGGCCCAACAUUACCAAGUCAUCGAAGCAUUUAUCUUCCCUUUCUUGAGGACCAACAUAAUUAGUUUGCCUUCUGAGCUUCAGGAUUAGGAAAGAUACUAAUAUUUCUUUAUGAUGAUAGUAUUAAAUAUUUUUUAGUUCAAAAAGUACUAUCCUCAUAUACAAGUACAUACAUAAGUACCAAUAUAAAACUCAUUUUUGAAAAUUUAGCUGUUAAGCAGAAAUUUGGCUGUGUCACAGAUGAUAAGAAGUAAUGUUUACAAAAAAUAUUUGUUUUAAGCAAAAACACUGUUCUAGCCUUGAGUAUUAUAGCAAUGUAUAGAUUGCAAGUCUUGAUUAGAUAGUGAAAGUGCCAGUGCUCUCCUUUACUAGCGCAAGCAAUUUCUUACCCAAUAUGGCUGGUAAGAAAUGCAAACCAGGCACAGACUGGAAGAGCUACAGUAAAAUUAUGUCAAGUUUAUUGGAAGCAAUUCAAUUUUUUAUACAUUUAUUGGCAAUGGAAUAUAAUGGCAAUUGACAGGAUCAAUGCUAUGGCAGUUGCCAGAAUACAAUGAUGUUUACCAGCUACCUAGGAUACACAAGAAUAAUGUCUAAGAUCAAUUGUCUGGUCAAGUUCUAAGGAACACAGAGAAACUCAGAUGGCUUGAACACUUCACUUCCUGAGGCAGUUCCUCUGUUUCUCAGCAAUUGAGGGACACAGUGCUCUAAGGAGCCAGAGACUUAACCUGAAAAACCUAUGAUACAUUUCUCUUGAGGCAUUUAGACCAGGACAACACCAUGAUUUCCUGCAGGAGAGGAGAUAAUGCUUUCAUGAUGGGCAUUAGAAGCACUUAUGGUGCCUACAGAAGCGACAAAUUCCCAGGGCUUCUCCCAGAUCCUCAAAAAAUAAUGGCCUUGAAUUGAAAUCCUAUCACAUCUACAUCACCUAAGUUUUUUUUAAUCAUUAGAAAUGCUCAUGAGAUCUCGGGAGUGUUUUGAUAAACUAAGACAGAAACCAAGUCAUACUGUAAUGCCAGCCAUUCAUUACUUUGCAAUCACUACUUAAAUAUUUGUAAUUAAAGUGUGAUGGAGUCAAAGCAAAACGGAGACUCUUGCAGCUCUAACACGUGUUGAGAGUAUGCUCAGGCCAGAAGGGUCCUCAGCGGUCUACUACCGUUGGGAUGAGACACUGUACGUAGUGGCUUGUCGGUAGUUCCGUGUUCUAGUCACGUAUUCCUCUGUCCAAGCUGCUAUGACCCAGCAGCUCUCCCAGGCUCAGGGCCACCCUUGGUCACCCAUGUCAUCUGCAUUCUGACUUCAGGUCUGUCUGUCAUCCUUUUUCAUCUAGGUCCGGUGGCACACCUUUUUCAUGAUUUGUAUUGGUUUUAUAAUUAAGCUCCUGAGCAGGUAGACUUUUGUCUCAACACUCCCCCCCUUUCACAGAUCUGUAAUCUCCACACUUAGGGACUAAAAUACCAUCACCUAGAUAGCCUUUGAGGAUUAAGAACAUGUUGUGUUUUCUUAAAGCCAAGUAAUAUGUCAUUUCUUAAGUUUUAAACAUUAUAGCAUCAUAAUUAACCUGAUUAAAAAUAGACAUCUGGUCAACCUCACAGUAGAUCCUUUAAAUAUAUAAUUUUAAAUAGACAUUAACCUCUCUUUGGUUUUGUAUUUUGAGACAGGGUCUCUUAUGUAGCUCAAGAUGACCUCAAACUUGUCAGCUCUUAUUUAAAACUGGUUUUGCCAUAAAAUACAGUCAUUAAAAACACACACACACAAAUAACC
rnacentral:lncRNA from 1 species